AUGGUGAAUGAGAAGUGGAUGGAUGCUCAAGAGUACACGGAUGUGGUGAAUGAAAAAUGGAGGGAUGUUAUGUUUUUUUGUCUGUAUCUGCGAUAUCCAGAUGAAGCAAGUGUUCUGCACAAGAACUACACUCAUUGUUUCCUCUAUUGCACUGAUUCUGCUAUUUAGAUUCUCACUUACUUAUAAGCUCAAGCAGUCAUGUGAUUCAAGGCUCUUAGAAGGCCCAUAUGCCCAUUGAAGUGGCCAGAUGAAAGUGAAAGCAAGCAUGACAAUAGUUCACAAAGCUCUCAAUCAUCAUAUGUGUCUCCCAAGUAUCUCAAUUUGCCAAUUUGAUCAAGAUAAACCAAAGGGCUUGAGGAUUGUUUCCCAAGGAAACCCUAAUUCAACUGUGCAUUGACUGUGCCUUGCUCAUGAAGCAACCUCAACCUAUGAUCAAAUACAAUCAAGGGAAGUUCUUUAAUUCUUCAUUUUAUGCAUAUAUGAGCUUAUGUGAGUAUCCUCAAUCAUUCAUUCAUCAAGAUUUGAAGUUUGGCUUUGAGAAGUUGAUCAGUCAAUUCAUUUGACUAUUUUGAAAUCCACUGAGACCUAACUUUUGAUGUGUUUGUCAAAUGAAGAUGACCCCAAGAGAAAAACUGUUCUUAAGAACCUUAUUAACAACUUUCAUGUUAAUCAAAAUUUAAUUUGAAACUUGGAAGGUCAUCAUUCAUUUCAAAACAUUAUAGGUCAUUUUGACUGAAACCCUAAUUUUGGGUCAACUUCCCAAGGACCUAACUCCUUCAUUUUUUAUAAUUUUUAGGUGAGACCAAGUGCAUUGGAAAGUUUAAGAUGUCUACUUAAAUUGUUAUGUUGGACAAAAUUUCAUAAUCCUAAAAGAAACACAUUUGAUAAUACAAAACAUUAUAGGUCACUUUGGACCAAAGCCAUUGAAAUGUGAAAAAGUCCAACUUCAAGUGCCCAUAACUUUCUCAUCAAAAAUCCAAAUGAUAAGUCCAAUUUUAUUUUCUUGAAAAUCUCUACAACUUUGUUGUUGGAGGUUUUGUCAUUUGAGGCUUGCAUCGUUGAAACAAAAGGGCUUGAAGUUGGUCCAUUUUGGCAAAAUUUUCAAAUACAUGUUUUGUACCUUGAACUUUAUGGCCAGUUUUCAAUAUUUUCCCAACUCCAAAUGGAUUUUUAUUCAACAUAACAUUUGUUCCUUAUGUCAAGACCUUUCUAACCAUUACCCACAUGCUUAUGUUUCAAUUUUCCAAAUGGUAUUUUCGAAGAGGUGAAGUUUUGUGAUCAUUUAUGGAAACCAAGUGAAAUCUUCUUGCACACUCCAUUGCCUUGCCAUCUGCAUGUCCAAACUUCAUUCAUUAGUGUUCAGCACUCAAUUGCAAGUGGUUUUGGGCCUCACAUGCGCCUGUACAGGCCCAUGCAUGGAGGACUCAAGUUCAUGCACACACGAGUUUGAUCAUGCCUUGCAUCAGCUGUGGAUAUAAAUAGACAUGCUUGCUCACUUCAAAUGGUAACCUAAAGGCGCCUUAAGCUCUACUCAACUGAUACCCUAACUCUCACUCAAAGGAAUUCUGAAUUUUUUCUUCACUUUUCAAGCUCAAAUUUCAACUUCCUUGGUUGAUCUUUGGCUUCUAAUUCCUUAGCCUUGCUUCCUUGUUACUUCAAGAUCAAGCUGCACUCAAGGAUUGGAUUCGAUCAAGCUCACACAAGCUGCACUUCAAAGGUUUUCACCAUAACUGUUUUGAUUCGAAUCUCUCUUAUUAUUGUGCAUUGCUUGGUUUGGUUGGCAUCUCUGAAGUCCUCAUGUGAGAGGCAAUUGAUUUGUGGUUUUAAUUUUGAGAAUUGGUUAAGUUCAGAUUGAGUACCUUGUUUUUCAAUCUCAGAUUUCUUCUUCUAUAAUAGUCUUGAGCAAAAACUAAGGUCACAGGGGUGAUGUACAUCACCCUAACUUUCGAAUGGUAUAUGGAUCGCGUGCUAUGGUUAAGUUUUGAAAACCUGCAACUGGUGGCCGGAACUGGCCUUCUCACCGGAGAAGACGCUGGUUUCCACCACCGUCCCCACGCGUCCAAACACUGGCCCUUGGAUGAAUGUUUCCAGAUCUAAUCCCAACCCUUUGUUGUUAUGACUUAUUUUAAUUCAUUGUGCCACGCUGUUGACCAAAGUGUACCGUGCGCGCGCGCUUCCCAGCCACAUGAUCAACCACGUUAGUUAAUGAAGUGAGAUCUGACGCCUGUGGAUUUUUCCAAUUUCUGAAUUUCCAUUUUAUUUUCUUUUAUUCCAAUUAUUUUUAAAAUUUCAUAACUUCUUUAUUUGGAAUCACAAAAAUAUGCGACCAAUUACAAAAAUUUUCUCUUAAAUUCUAGUUUCUAAAAAAGAUUUUUAAUUAUUUUUGUGAUUCCAUUUAAUAUUUUUUGUGAAUUAUUUCAUUUCUGGUUGUUUUUAAUUCAUUUAAAAUCCUUUUUGAUAUUCAAAAAUGCCAAAAAUAUGUUCUUAACAUCUUUGGAUGAUGAUGAAUCUAUGAAAAAUAUUCUCAUCAAUUUCUUAAUUGAUUUGAGAUUUAUUUGAGAUUUUAGUCCAAUUAUGUUAUUUUUCUUCAUUUUUAAUUGUUUAAAAUUAGUUUCUGUUUUCAAAAAAUGAUGAGAAAUUUGUCAAACCUUGUUUGACCAUGUUAGACUUAUGAUGAUCCAAUUGGACUUAUCCAAGUGAUUUGAAUUGGAUUUGAAGUUUGACCUUUAUUUGUUCAUUUUAUUUGAAGUUUGACCUUGAAGAUGAAUUGAAAGGACCCCUAUUCUAAACUCACUCUUCUCCAUUCUUUCUAUUGCAUUGUGGAACUUUUUGAUUUGUUUGUUCUUGUGUGGUAGGUGUAAGACCCCAAUUUUGACCCUAAGAUCCCUCAUGGCAUCAUAACAUUGCAUUUGCAUAGCCUCAAGGAUCAUAAGCAUCUUGGCUCCUUCCCUUUGGGUGGGAUCUCUCUUCUUGAGCAGUCACAAGGUCAAAAGCUUCUAGGAGAUCCUAUGUGCAAUGAUAUAGUCAAGAGAAGAUGAAAGCAAGCAUGGUAAUGGUUCCCAAAGCUAUCAUCUAUCAAAUAUGCCUCCCAAGUAUCUCAAUUCAUCAUUUUGAUCAAAGCAAGUCAAAGGGUUUGAGGCUUGUUUCCCAAGGAAACCCUAAUUCAUCUAUUCAUCAACUAUGUCUUGCUCAUGAAGCAACCUCAACCCAUGAUCAAAUACAAUCAAGGGAAUUUAUUUAAUUCAUCAUAUCAUGCAUAUUUUAACUUAUUUGAGUGCCCUCAAUCAUCAACUCAUCAAGAUAUGAGGUGUGGACUUGAGAAGUUGAUCAGUCAAUUCAUCUGACUAUUUUGAAAUACACUGAGACCUAACGUUUCAUGUGUUGGUCAAAUGGAGAUGAUCCCAAGAGAAAAAAUGUUCUUAAUGACCAUAUGAACAACUUUCAUGUUCAUAAAAAUUUUAUUUGAAGCUUGGAAGGUCAUCAUCCAUUCCAAUACAUUAUAGGUCAUUUUGAUUGAAACCCUAAUUUUGGGUCAUCUUCCCAAAAACAUAACUCAUUCAUUUUUCAUGAUUUUGGGAUGAGACUUAAUGCAUUGGAAAUCUUAAUGUGUCUACUUCAAAUGUUAUGUUGAUCAAAAUUUCAAAAUCUCAAAAGAAAUACAUGUGAUAAUGCAAAACAUUAUAGGUCACUUUAGACCAAAUGCAUUGAAAUGUGAAAAAGUCCAACUUCAAGUAUCCAUAACGUCUUCAUCAAAAAUCCAAAUGAUACAAAAUUUAAGUCCAAAUUGAUUUUCUUGAAAAGAUAUACAACUUUCAUGUUGAAGAUUUUAUCAUUUGGAGCUUUCAUCAUUGAAAUAGAAGGGCUUGAACAUUGGCCAAAUUUGGAAACUUCACAAAUGCAUGUUUUGCACCCUACACUUCAAGCUCAAAUUUCAUUAAGUCCAAGGCCCAAUUGGAGUUUUGAUCAACAUAGCAUUUGUUCCUUAUUCAACAAGCUUUCUAACCAUUACUCAUAAGGUUGCAUUUGUGUGAGCAAAUUCUUUACUUUGAAUAAGUUUUGAAUGAUAGCAAAUUGUGUGAUCAUUGUCCAAUUGUUGGUUGUGCAUUAUUUUACAUGUUUCAUUUGUGUUUUUAGCCUAUACUAUUGUUUCGUGUCUAUACAUAAAGAUUCACAUUGAUACAUUUCUUAAAAGAACUCAUAAAAACUGUUUUGUGUCAGUAUGUAUCGAUACAUGUUCCUUUGCAUCGAUACAUAAAUUUGUUUUAAAUCACAAAACGUUUUUGCUUCAGUAUGUAUCGAUCCAUACGAGCCUUGUAUCGAUACAAGCUUAGUUAAAAUGCUCUAUGUAUCGAUACAUACGAGCUUUGUAUCGAUACAUGCCUAGUUAAAAUGCUCUAUGUAUCGAUACAUACGAGCUUUGUAUCGAUACAUGCUUGUAUUAAUUCUCUAAAAUUAAUCAAGGCUACAGUAUGUAUCGAUGCAUAAACUCUUGUAUCAAUACAUAAUUCUGUUUUGUCUACUAACAACUUCUGUCUUUCAUAUAUAAGAAGUAUUUUGACAGCAGUGGAGAAAGUACGAAUUCACAAGUGAAAAACAGUUGAAACACUAAUCAAAGCAGUGUGUAGCAGCAAUUGUUGGAGCAGAUAGAAACCUGAAAGAGACUUCAUCUUCUUCAUUUUCUCAAUCUCUUUUAUUCAAGAACAUCAACACAUAAUCAUUCUUGUUCUUUGGAUUAAAGGAUCAACGAGAUAACGUUCAGUGGUACGAUCAAGGAUCUAGCUGAGGUGUUCAGUGGAACGAUCGAGGAUCUAGCUGAGUUGAAGGUUGAAGGGGGUUUCGAGGAAAAACCAAGUGGUUUGUCCUUCAAGAACUGGAGUGUUCUAUCGGGUUUGUUAGUCACGUUUGCAGAACAGAUUCAGUUGUAGCGUAAGGUUUGGAAAUUGGGUAAUUUCGCAAACAGGUCGUGGAACCGGUGAAUUGUUUGCAAUUUCUUGCAGGAAAUUCUUGAUCGAGCUCAGAUCAAGUGGAGGUUUAUACAAGAAGAAGAUCUUGGGACUUAGAUUUCUGUCUGUGUAUUAUAACCUUGUAUCAACGAAUUCGGCAUUAUUGAUAAUUACAGUUCUCAAUUUCAUUUGAAAUUGAGAAGGAGA